CUUCGGGACAGCAGAGGAGCAGUGUCCGGCCAUGGCCGGAGCCCGCAGGCUGGAGCUAGGCGAGGCCCUGGCGCUGGGGUCGGGCUGGCGUCAUGCGUGCCACGCUCUCCUCUACGCGCCGGACCCUGGGAUGCUCUUCGGCCGCAUCCCGCUGCGCUACGCCAUACUGGUGAGAAGGGGGCGCGCCCGGCCACUUUCUGCCUGAGCCCCGCACCCUCUCUGGUGGUCUCCUCUGGGGCGCCCCUGCCAAUCCCCGCUUCCCCCUCCCGCAGAUGCAGAUGCGCUUCGAUGGACGCCUGGGCUUCCCCGGCGGAUUCGUGGACACGCAGGACAGAAGCCUAGAGGACGGGCUGAACCGCGAGCUGCGCGAGGAGCUGGGCGAAGCGGCUGCCGCUUUCCGCGUGGAGCGCACUGACUACCGCAGCUCCCACGUCGGGUCAGGGCCACGCGUUGUGGCCCACUUCUAUGCCAAGCGUCUGACGCUCGAGGAGCUGUUGGCUGUGGAGGCCGGCGCAACACGCGCCAAGGACCACGGGCUGGAGGUGCUGGGCCUGGUGCGAGUGCCCCUGUAUACCCUGCGGGAUGGUGUAGGAGGCCUGCCUACCUUCCUGGAGAAUUCCUUUAUUGGCUCUGCGCGGGAGCAGUUACUUGAAGCUCUCCAGGACUUGGGACUGCUGCAGUCUGGCUCUAUUUCAGGCCUUAAGAUUCCAGCUCAUCACUAGAGGCAGCCCUCCAUGGACCCAUGAAAACUGAGAUGAGGACCUUGGUACUAGGGAGGGAGGGAAGGACGUGGGAAUGUUUUCUUAUUGGAUCUGAGAGAUGAUACAUGAUACCAGAUGAAAAGAAGGAGAAGUGUGUACCAUAUGUUUUGAGCAGAGGACCCUCCAACUUAUGGCAUCAGGGGCAAAAAGUCACAGCUUAUCCCAGGCACCCUGGCAGGUUCUCAGAGCCUGCCUCCUCCCUGUUUAUAUGCGUACAGCCUGGUAACCCCCAGGCAUGCAAAUAUACAAUCUGUAACAACACACAGCCUGACACCUUCCCCUGGUCAUGUCCAGUUUAACCUUGAAGUGGCAUUUGUCACACUACCCUGGUCCCUGAUUGCAAGGAGCUUCUGAAGCAAGGGUGAAUCCUUCCCACACUCCUCCAUGGUUGCCCUCCAGGGUCUAGCCCAGCCUAUUUGUUAGGGAGGAUAGAGAAACAGAGCACCCCCUGUGCUUUCUGAAAAUAGACUUGCUCUUGUCUUGAGUGGUGACCAAAGCAGUUGGCUCUUAAAAGGUGGGAGAGCAGCCCAACCAAUCCCCAAUCCUUUUCUUCUGAAACUGAGCAGGAAGGGUAAGGAAGUGGCUAGGUCUCCUUGGACUGAGCAUGGACAUGAGUCCUGUGAGGACUGGUGUCUCUCCUCUAGAGCUUUCAUCUUUGGGAUGCCUGAGACUCCGAGACUAUCAGAAGGGAAUUGACCCACCCCAGUCUAGCACCACCCUGCCUUCACUUCAUCUACAUAAAGGUGGUAUAAAAACAUAGACUGGAGGAGGUAAUCCAUGGAGAGAGAAAAAGAAGAGGGCUCAGGACAAGGCCCUGAGGAGGCCCAAUCCUAAAAGUUUGGGCAGAGGGAACCAGGCACGUUAAAGAAGACAGAAAGCGGACUAUGCAGAGUGCUUGUGAGGGUUUCACUAAAACAGAGGCAAAACUGUCCAUUGAAUUCAGUAACAUGAAGUGUUUGAUGACUAUGAUGGCAGCAGUUUCAGGAAGGGCGGUAUGGAAGGCAGGCUGUACUGGUUGAGUGAAUGGAAAGUUGGGGAGUAGAACGUGUGAGAAGUUGGCCUUCAAGGGGCUCAGGUUAAUAAUAGAGAGCUAUGGAGUCAAGGCAUGUUUAAGAUGGGAGGUAGAGCAUGCCAAUAUUGAUGGCAACAGUCAAGAUGGUGUGAUGAGAGAGAUGGGAGGGGCACAAAGAGGAGGACCCCUGAAGGAGCAGAGUCCAUGAGAAAGAAGGAGGGAUGGGACCUUUGUAGGAAGAGACACAGUCCUGCAGCCUCAUAUGGCUCAAUAAAACAGAAAGGGGCAAGUAUAGAAGAUUAGGAUGACUAAAUUAAUGGGGAAAUGAUGAAGGAGUUUGAAUCUCUUCUUUGUGAAAUGAAGUGAGACUAUCAGCUAGUUGUGGGUGGAGUGUGUUCUCAGAAGGUAUGAAGUAGAUGUUUUCCUAGGUGUUGGAAAACAGGUUGAUUAAGGCAACAGCAGAAGGGCAGGGCAAGGCUGAGCUCUGAGAUGGUCAGUUUAGAGUAGGAUGCUGGGCACUCAGGUGUGUGUGUGUUGAGUGGGGCUCUGCACACACCUGUCUUCCCCUCAUCAGGAUUCAGGAGCUGGGAUGGGUACACUUACUGCAGUGUUGGGGUUUUGCCAGGGAAGUAAAAGGAGUUGAGAGAAAGAUGGGUCAGUUCAGAAGACAUACACAGGAGAAAUUGUAGUGAUGAAAUGUGCAGUCUAAGGUUUAAUCUGACCAAGAAAUUGGAAUUGAAAACAGGAGGUGACUAGGGAGGGAUUAGGAAAUUAGAGGUCUUGACAAGAUAGAAACUCCAGCAUGGUGAGGGGUUGGGCAGGGAGGUAUAUUUGAGCCAGACAGGAGUGCUUUGGAAAUUGAGAGGUGGAGCAAUCUCAGGUAAAGGCAAAAUAGAGGGUAUGACCUGGGGUUGCUGGCCAGAGCCAGGGAGGAGCCUUAAGAAGUGAAAUCUAGGGUUGGCGAGGCUGGAGGGCAGGGUGAGCCUCCACAUGGGUGCUGAAGCAAGAAACCGACAGAUGUUGAGGAGAAUGGUGUGACCUAGGAGUCAGCAUCCUUGGUGAACAAGAGGAGUGGCCACAAGGCCAGUGGCACCUGCCAGAGGGGAAAGCAGGCAUGACAGGAUAGCAUCUCCCAGGUGAGAGCCUUUUGAGGAAGGGAGGGUGGGCAGUGGUCUGGAAGCUUGAUGCAGAGCAGUGUGGGUCCCACUGGCAGCCCUUGGUCUUAGAAGAAUGGGAGUACCCAGUGGGGGAGCAGCUGUACAAUGAGGUAGACUCCUAGAGGUUAAUUAUCAUCUCCUAAUCUUACCCUGACCCUUUUGUCAAACGUUAUCUAGAUUAAACCUCAGUAUAGGCAGGCUGCAGGAAAUGGACAUUCCAGUGGCCCCUGGGGUUCCAGCCUGUAGCAGCUUCAUCUGUGCUUUGUGCACUUGGUUCUCAGUCAUCUCUGCAAGGGACCCUGACGCCUGGGAGAUCAGAGCCACUGACCCUUUAUGGCACUGCUAACAGACCCCUUCCCUCAGGUAAUUCUGGAUCCAGAACUCAUUAUGGGAUGUAAUCCAGGUCAACACUAAUACCACUUGGAAGGUUCCGCUCUGUCUCACUCUGCUUGAGUAUCCCACUGAUCAGUCUCUCAGUGCCUGCCUACUGGGCAGCUCAUCUGUCCACUUAUUCGUAUUAAAUUUGCUUUUUAUUUAGGUCUCUGGAGAUGGUUGCGUGGGGAAGAGCCCAUGACUUUCCUAUAUGAUCCCUUGAACAUACUCUCCAAGUCAGUAGAUUACCUCUCAGGCAGCCUUCAUAAAAGUGUUUCACUGUACUGGGGUUUGUGUUCAUCUCACUCACAUAGACAGUCUCUGGGUAGGCAGGUGGGGGGUGAUACAAGUUCACACUCUGUGUUUCUCCUCCUGUUAGCCAUUCCCACCCUGCUGAUGUUUAAGGAAAGCCAGGGAUGAUGACCCACUUAAGCUUUCCUUGGCCUUGUUAAGUCCAAUCAUCUGGGGCAGGAAGAAGAGAAAUGCUCAUUGCAAUCUUUGACCCCCACUAACUGCUGUGGUGACUUUGACCCAAGCCCUUGACCUCCUUUUCCUUAUCUGAAAUGUUGCUGUGAUUCCUGUGGUGAGAUCAGAUGAGGCAGCACUUGGGAUAAGCUUGCAGAGAUGCAUUGAGCGGUAUGAAAGUACAGGAUGCUAUGUACUUUCCUGCUUCACAGCACAUUUUGUUUCUUGCAAGGUGAGUGGCCCAGCCGCCUCUCCACAAACACGUGUUUCUGCCUUUCUCAGCAUAAUCAGCAAGAUGUUCCCACUUCUCAGCAUUGCACUUUUCUGCUGGUGCAGAAUAAAAACACUUUGAGCCCCACCCUGUCCUGAGACAAAGUCCUCUGUGGUCACUUGGCAUAUGGCAAAGCUGCUGCUGUGGGCUGGAACAUUUGAGGCAACAGUGACUUCCUCCUUUCCUAGUUACCGGAACCCUUAGAGCUGGGAGCCGGCCAGUGAAACAGACAAGGGGAGGGGAAGAGAAGAGGGAAGGCAUGUUUCCUAUAUGAGUUUCAGUUUGUUGCACAGAAAUGUUUUUGAAACCUUUAUCUCCAAUAGAAUCACAAACGGGUGUCAGAGAGUCAAAACUAGAGGAAAAAGUUUAGUCUGUAAACAAAUCAUUAGAUGGCAUCAGAAUUUGAACCAAAGUAAAAGAUGCUGGACCUUGGCACUUAUCAGAGAAGUAUAGAAGAGCCAGGUAGGGGAUUUUAUUUACAACAUGUUCAAUUCUGAGGAAGAGGAGUAUGGGCAGGGCAGAGGAAAAAGGAAAAAUGGGAAACCCCCAUGGACUUAGGGCCCCCACAAAGAGAAACCAUGUGCCUUCUCCCCACUUCCCUUCUGGCUUGGGCAAAUGAGGCUCCCUUUAGGGGUAGAGGUACUCUACAGGGGCUAUGUUCCCUUUAGGGGUAGAGGUAGUCUACAGGGGCCAGCUGGGCAGAGAUGAAAUCUUGCAAAGGAACCCUUCUUACACUCGAAAAGCAAGAAUAGCAAAGGGACUUUGGGAAGGACAUAAAACAAGAAAAGGAAGCUCCUCACCAACAGCUCCCAGAUGGAGGGAGUUUGUGUGUCUAGCAUUUUCACCAAAGUGCUGCUCAUCCUGAUGCACAGAUGCAGAUUGGAGCUGCUGCCUGUGCCCUCACCAUGGGUAUGUACCCACCACAGGCAUUCCCAGGUGAUGCGGGGGCAGAGGAUUCCCUCUUUCCACUCAGGAUAACAACCCCUCGAUGGGGUUUUCAACAAGUAUAGAAAGCUCCUGGACUCAGCCAAGACCCUCACCUACAGUCCCAGUCCUCCCACCUUCUUCAGGUCUCUAGAAGACAGAACUGAUGGGUUUACAACAUCCUAUUAUCCAGCACUAGUCCUAGGUUGUGGAUGUAGGGAAAGGCCAGGUAAACAAGGAAGGGAGAACAGGUGAAUGACCCCAAUUGUUUGAAACCAAAAGAGCAGAAUUGCCCCUAAUUGAUUUAAGUAAACAGCAAGUAACAUAGGUCUGUUAAAUAGAAGAGGAUGUGAGCACCAGAUGCACGUGAUAAAGACCAUGCUCUGGAAGAUUCAUUCCAAGGAGUAGAAGUGGUAUUUACUCAGGGCAUUUAAGGAGAGCAGGGACUCUGAAAUGAGGUGAGAGAAAAGAUAAGACAUGCAGGAACAGCUGGCAACACCAAGAAAGAAUUUAAGGAGAGGGAUCUCUCUGUUAGAGAACUUAACAUUACCCUAGGAACAGCAAGAGCAUCAUCAGCCCCAGGAAAAUCUACCUCUGAUAUGGAGACCAGGCUUAAGAAAAUCCCCUAGAACCCAGAGAAAAAGUGCAAAACAAGGAAAAUGGCCAAAGAGAAUAUCAUAGAUACAGAGAUCAGACAAUGAGAAUCCAGAGUCUUGUUAAGUGAUAGAAGGAAAAUACUAACAGAACACAUGUAACAGGAACAACAUUUUAGAGGAAACAGGACAAAAACUUCCCUAAACUCAAGAUACUACACCAGAAGUGGGCAGUACUCACUAUGUUCAGGGGAACAAAAAGAUAAAAACUAAAAAGCAUCAGACUGUUUUUUGUGUGAAGGAAAUUUGUAAGGUAGGAGAAUUAGGUCACUUACUACAGCACAAAUUGCAUGUCUAUCUAAAUUGACGUUUAAGUGCAAAAGCAUGGAUAUUACUCAUGCAGUUUUACUGGAAAACCAUACAGAUGUUUUUCAGGAAUGUACAGAAUGAAUCAAAGGAAAUAACUGAUCGACAGGAAAACUGUAGGAAAUUUGUGGGCUGGCUGUGAGGCAGUGGCUCCUAUUAUGUACAAUUUUAGUGCUAAGUACUGUGUUAAUGAUGGCUAUCAAACAAUAUGUUAACAUCUGAAAGGAAAUAUGUAUAUUGAGCAUAAUAAAUAUUUUAUAAAUAACAAUAAAUCAUUUGAUUUUAUGCUA